UGGGCGUGUGCUAGUUUUAUAUUGAAUUAGAGUUUAAAUGAAUUAAUAGGUACUAUAUAUAUCAAUAAUACGAGUGUUCUCUAUUGGUGACUACUCGAAAGGAACUUCAAGGUUAAGCGUGCUUGACUUAGAGCACAAGUAAGAUGGGUGACCUACUGGGAAGUUCGUCAAAUGGUAUGCAAUUAAGGUCAAAAUACAUUAGAAAUACACUAAAAA
rnacentral:lncRNA from 1 species